rnacentral:lncRNA from 1 species
UAAGUGGGAAGAUCAACUUUGACGCAGAGAACUCUGAUUAGUGGUCCAGGGCCUUCAGGUCUCUAGCAGCUUACAUUGCCUUUUUGUCCAAAACGAAAAUCAGUUUCUUGAUGUUUUGUUGAAGUGACUUGUUUUUGGUGAUCAAUUCCUUACCCAAAAUUUUGAAAAAAUCAUGAGUCUUUUAUUUUUUUUGGAUAGUGUGAUGGUUGAUUUUAUGGGUCGACUUGACUGAGCCAUAGGGUACUCAGAUAUUUGGUGGGACAUUAUCCUGGAAGUUUCUGUGAGUGUGUUUUUUGGAUAAGAUUAUCAUUUAAACUGGCAGACUGGAUGAGGCAGAUUGCCUUCCGUAAUGUGGGUGGGCCUCAUCCAAUCAGUUGAAGGCCUAAAUAGAACAAAAGGUUGAUCUUCCCUCAAAUAAGAGCUGGCUUUUCUCAUGUUUUUAUAGGUUCUUAUGAGAAGCCUUGGGGUAAGAAAUGUCUUCUUUCACCUUCUACAAAACAUGUGUGUGAAAACUUUUUUUUACCAAAAUUAUAUUCCAUUUACUGAAAGAAAUCAGCACAUUAUAAAGUGCUGUUUCUUUGCACAGAGCUUGUAUUUAGUUUUCAGGACUAGAUAUUUGCAUAUUUUCAUAGGUCUUAUGAAAAGCCUUUGGGAUGAGAAAUGGCUGCUUUUAUCUUCUACAAUGGUAAAAUUUUCUGGCUGAUGGAAAGAAUUUUCUGGCCCAAUGGCCUUCAAACUCAGACAUCAUCUCUGCAGAUUAUGGAUUUGCCAGCUUCCCAAAUUUCAUUAGUCAAUUCCUUAUUAUACUAAAUCUACCUACCUACCUACCUUCCUACCUUCCUGCCUUUAGUUGGUUCUGUUUCCUUGGAGAACUUCAACUAAUACAAAUGGAUACAUUCAGUAAACACUAUUUGGGAAUUUCUCAUAGGGAUAUCAAUUGUCUCCAUCUCCCAAUACACACAGUGUGUAAUUUUUUUACUUAAGAUUUUCCAGGCCUAUUAUUAAUAAGGUAGGAACAAUUUUAUUUUUCCUGUUUUUUUAAACAUGGGUGAGACUAUCAGAUUUAAAUAAAAGUUUAUCCUUCAAGUACUGAAAAUGGACUAUAAUAUAUUAGAUUAAAGCAAAAUUUAUAGAUAUUAUAUAAAGGGAGAAAUUUGAGUAUUAUAAUUGUAGAGAUAAGAAUGAUCAGGUUAAAUCUUUGAAUUCAACAGUUGUUGAGUACCCACUAAAUGCAAGGCACAUGUCUAUUCAAAUGUUUUCUAUUCAAAUCCACAGUUAAAUCACUUUUAAACAUUGAGGAUCUGCCAUAUUUUAUUAUCUGAAACUUUGGGUAGUUUAAAACCUUUUAUGUUAAAAAAGUAUAUGCCUGUUUCAUUCUCAUAUUAAAUACUGAUGAUUUUCCCAAUCAUGAUUCCUUCCUUACAA